GACCGUGGCCUAGUGAUUAGAGCAACUGCCUCUGAUGCGGGAGGUCGCGGGUUCGAACCCUGGUUGAGUCA